GCAGAGAUGGCAGAGAUGGCAUGGCAAGAGCAAGCAAGCGUGUGGGGAGGCGCCAGGGUCAUUUUAACAACCAGCUCUCUUGGGAACUAAUGGAGCAAGAAUGCAUUCAUUACCAUGAGGAGGGCACCAAGCCAUUCAUGAGGGAUCCCCAUGACCCCCAUGGGACCCCCACGGGACCCCCAUGACCCAAACACCUCCCACCAGGCCCCACCUUCAACACCGGGGAUCACAUUUCAACCUGAGAUGUGGAGGGACACACAUUCCAACUAUAGCGAGCUGCUACAGAGCUUGAGCUGGUGACUGACAUGCAAAUCCAGAGGCUAAAUGUUGUUUUCAAGAGAAGACAGAAAUUUUUACUUUUUUAUUGAGGCAGAGUCUCACUCUGUCGCCCAGGCUGGAGUGCAGUGGCAUGAUCUUGGCUCACUGCAAGCUCUGCCUCCCGGGUUCACGCCAUUCUCCUGCCUCAGCCUCCCGAGUAGCUGGGACUACAGGCGCCCGCCACCACGCUCAGCUAAUUUUUUGUAUUUUUAGUAGAGACGGGGUUUCACUGUGUUAGCCAGGAUGGUCUCGAUCUCCUGUCCUUGCGAUCCACCCGUCUCGGCCUCCCAAAGUGCUGGGAUUACAGGAGUGAGUCACUGCGCCUGGCCAAAUUGUGAUAUUUUAAGUGUAAACUAUCUCAAUGGGAAUAUUGAUAACAAUUCAUAUAUAUUUUUUAAACUGCAUGACCCAAAUGAAACAGGUCUGUGUGCCUGAUUUGCAGCCUCUGGACUAUUAUGUGCAAGUGGAAUCCUGUGGCUUGGGGUCAGGAAGCAAUGCUGCAGGCCUCUGGGUAAGGGAUGGGGACUUCCCCGAAUGGAGUGGGAAUUCCCACUGCCGGUCCUUCUGGAAAGUGGCCUGUCCUAGGACAGGAACUGAGGAACAGGGAGGCAGAGUUUGCCUCCCAUGGGUGGAGGAGCUCCUUCUCUCACCGAGUCUCUGGAGGGCUGCCCUGCAUGGUCGGGGGCAGGUGUGCUCACAGCACCCUGGUGGGGCAGGCCCUGCUCCAGGGAGGCAAGCUCGGGGGGCCUGACUGAGCGGCAGCAGUAGCAGCCCCAAGUCCCCCUGUUUUGAGCGUCCCUUCUGCUGACACUUCAAACAAUGCCUGGUUAAAGGUUAUAGCCCAGCUUAAGCUGGGUGCGGAGAGGAAUGAGGUGGAGCAGAGGAGAAGGUGGGGAGCGCGUGCUCCUUCUGCAAGGCCUAAGUCAGGGGACUCAGUGGCACCAGAACAGUGGUCAUCUUGGGAGUGCCAACAGCUGGGAAGGCAGUCCUGGUCGCUCAGGAGCGGGGAAGAAGAGCAGACGCUCAGGUACGUGGGAACCUAUUCCAGAACACGUGUGACACAGCCCAGGGGAACCCCCAGAAAUAAUAGAAAGGUGCUUUGAGGGGUUUAACUUCCCAUGUGGGCAGACGGGAAAUGCAUGCAAUUGGUUGUAAUUAGAGUAUUGAUGGAAACUUGCCCCCUUUUUUUGUAGACACACGUGGUUGAAGCCGGGCCCUUCGUUUGAAGAAAUGACAAUAGAUGUUUGCCUGGAGUUUUAGCGUUUACAAAGUGAUCCACUAACACCGUCUCAUGGAAUCUUCACAUCAACGGUGGGUAUGGUGGCUGGCUUAUGCCUGUGGUCCCAGCUACUCAGGAGGCUGAAGCAGGAGGAUUGCUGGAGCCCAGGGGUUUGAGGCUGCAGUGAGCUAUGAUUGUGCCAUUGCACUUCAGCCUGGGCCACAGAGUGAGAACCCCACUCUAAAAACAAGAAGAUGAACAAGAAGAAGGAGAAGAAGAAGAAGGAGAAGGAGAAGGAGAAGGAGGGGAAGGGGAAGGGGAAGGAGAAGGAGAAGGAGGGGAAGGGGAAGGGGAAAGGGAAGGAAAUGGAGAAAGGAAGAAGAAAAAGGAAGAAGAAGAGGAAGAGGAAAAGGAGGAAGAGAAACAAGAAGGAGAAGAAGAAGAAGAAGGAGGAGGAGGAGGAGGAGGAGGAAAUUUGGACACAGGUGCUCACAGGGAGAAGAAGGCCAUGUGGAGACAGACACAGAGGGAAGAAGAUGUGAGACAGAUGAGGGCAAUGCUGCUAACAGCCAAGGACCUCCUGGGGCUACUACACACUGGAGGAGGCGAGAAAGGGUCCUCCCUUCAGGGCUUUGGAGGGAGCACCGUCCAGCUCACACCUUGAUUUUAGACUUCCAGCCUCCGGAGUCGAGAGGGAAUGCACCGGUGUUGUUUAAGCCACCCUGCUGUGGUAUCUGUUAUGGCGGCACAGGCAGAAAUAGGGACACAAGUGCAGGUUCAGGGCAAGGUGUGCGAGCACACUCAGUCCCUGGCCUCGGAGUCUCUCUGGAUGGCUUCUUGCCUAGGGUGACUGACAGAGGGAUGGAUGAUAUGAAAAGGCAGCUGUUCUCCUCCCGACCUAACCCCAAUUCUUACUCCAUGGGUUCAUGACAGCCCAUUCUGCUGGAGACUGUGUCUUAAAACUUUCUCCCCUAGUUUCUCUCAAGUACCCCUCGUGAGCUGUGAUUUCACUGGGCUUUCAACUCUUAGGCCAUUUUCUUUGUGCCUUUCUAUCAAAGCUUUAUAUCAACUCAAACCAUGUCUAUAGUAGUUUUCCAUUUUCCUUUUUUUCUUUUUUAAUGAUUGUAAUUUUUUCAAAUGGAUUAUGUAUUUUUAUAUCUUUUUUCUUUUGAAUUUACUUCUUUUUUAAGAGCCAUUUUUUGUUUGGAGCAAAAUUGAGCAGAAAGUCCGGGGAGUUCCUCGCUGCUCCCACACACACAGCCUCCCCGCUGUCGAUAUCUGGCACCGGAGGGGUCUGACCCUUACAAGUGAGGAGCCUAUGUUGAUGCACCAUUAUCACCCAAAGCUCAUAGUUUACACGAGGGCCCACUCUUGCUGUGGAACCACGUUCCUUUUCCCCACGUGUUUUUGCAUCCCUUUUCUUUUUUCUACCUUCCCAAACCCUGUGAUGUUCGGAAGAGCUAUGAUCCCUAUUCUAUAGAGAGGACACUCAAGGAAGCAGCUGAUAAGUAGAACCAGGACUCAAACCCAGAUCUCAUAACUCUAAAUCCAGCAGUGGUAGUUUUUUCUCUUUAAUACAAUUAUGACACUCCCUUUUGAACUUGUGAUAUAUACCUGCCGCUAACACACACACACACACACACACACACACACACACACACACACACACCUUGAGAGGCUGUUGCCAAUUGUUCUUUAGGCAUCACACACAGCCCCGGCACACAGCAGGGGCUUAAUAGAUAUUCCUUACAUCGAAGUUGAAAGUCUUGUCUCAACAUUCUGCUCUCACACACUCGCCUACAAACUCAUCAAAUAAUAGAGCAUCGAUUCUCAUUCUCUCCCUCUCCCUUCCUUUUAAAUCUCCUGGGGCUUAGAAUCCAUAAUUUGUGGAAUUCCCGCAUUCCCACAGGUGUCCUGGGAGGUGGGCAGGGCCAACACUUCAGCAGCUUCUGCAACGCAGCAGACUCCUGGGCCUGAUGUGCUAGCUGCCCAUUUGCUAUGGGCCUUCGCUCCCCAGAAGCACCUCUCUGGGUAUGGGGCAAACACCCCUCAUUGCUGCAAUGCAGCCUCUGCUGGAGUGAAACAGGAUGCUUGAUUUCUAUUGCGUCAGUAGCAACACUGCCCAGAGGUCUAAGAGAGGAAGUCAGAGCAAAGCCCAUCAAAGCCCACCCAGAACAGCAGGGAAAUUCCAAGUCAUCGGUUUCUAGUUCUCCCCAUGCGUGUGGUGGCCCUGCUUUGUGGUGAGCCUCCAGGACUGUCCUGCUGUGCCUCUGAAGCACCUGCUCACAGAAGGGUGACCCAUUGAGGCAUGCAGUGGGUUGAUACAAAUGUCAACUCCAGCCCCUGUCAUCAGCUAAAGGUCAGCAAAUGAGUUCUCUGGCAUUUGGGGUCUGCAGGAGCAAGUGAGUACUGUGAACACCUGCAGUGUGGAGACCACGUCCAUCUAAUUGGCGUCUAUGGGGCCCAGUGCCAGGCUGGGCCCAAGUGUCGAUUCAGGAAGGGUGUCUCAGGAUGCAGAAGCCGCCUGAUGCGUGCAGAGGUGGAUAGGCCUUCAGCCUGCUCUCCUCCUCUGUCCUGCAGACCGGGUGAGUUAUGUUAGCCUCUGCUUUCCCUUCCUGUCCUGAGCACAGCAAUCGGGACAACCACACAUCCUCUGAGAGAUGAUAAAAAUAAUGAGACCAAGAAGACUGCACCCAAAUCGAUGUUUUGUCUUUGCGCAGACCCCAUAGUGUGUCUUGUGCUGCAGAGGGAAGCACCUGGCAUCUUGGGGCCUCUUCUCUGCCCCCUCCCCACUUUGGGGAGGGGUUUUGUCGGGGGCAGCCUCCAUCCUUUGGAAUCCUGUCUGUGCUCUGAUUCUCCCUGAUGGUCUUUAUAGCUUUGCAUUAUUUUGCUUUCAGAGAACAGAGAAAUGUGAAUAAGAACAGAAACAUGGCACCGGUGUCCUCAGCUUCUUCCCCACCUUCACAGAACUGCUGCUGCAAACUAGUAGUUUUGAGAAAUGAUGAAAAACCUGUGGUUUUCCCCAAAUUCCAAGAAUCAGAGGCAGAUUCUAGGAGGGUGAAGAUGGUGUGGGCUCAAAAAUGGUCAUGCGGCACAUCUUCUGAGGAGAUAUGCUGCCCAUUAAAAGGGCAAAACAGGAGUUGGUGUGUGGGCAGUUCCCGCAUCACACAUAAAGGCUUCACCAGUGAGGCUCAGCCCAGGAACUGCCUGCCCUUGAGGCUGGGGGCUCACAAAGAAAGCUUUCCCCCAGCUUCUGAUGUCCAUGAAGAGCAGAGAGCAUGCUGGUGGUGAUUCAUAACCCCCUGAAAUGUAUCCUCAGUUUGCCAGAGAAAAAUUUCUAGGACCCACCUAAUAAGUUCAUUCAUUGGUUCCCAGACUCGGCAGGUUUUACCAGAUCCCUCACGACUGGUCCCAGCUUCUCUCCCAGCACAUUACUUGAAGGUACACAAAUAGUCCACUGUGCUUUGUUUCCUCUGUUUCUUCCAAUUCUCUCUUCUGCUUGACCAGCUUGUACUUGAAGAUCUAGGUUUUGGGAGAUUCCCGGGAUUGCUGCCAGGCACUGCCUGCCCCCAUCUGAGUAAGGGGUGUAAACCCCAAGAGUAUCUGAGACAAGUGUCAGUUAAUCUAGGAUUGUAUAUUGCCAAGGUUAAGAACAUGCCCAGGACACAGCCUUGGGAGGUCCUGACCACAUGUGCCCAAGGUAGUGGGCCUACAACUUGGUUUUAUACAUUUUAGGGAGACAUAAGCCAUCAAUCAAUACAUGUAACAUGUACAUUGUUUUGGUCUGGAAAGUUGGGACAACCGGAAGGGGGAGCUUCCAGGUCACAGUCAGAUUCAAAGACUUCCUGACUGGCAGUUGAUUGAGUUAUUAUCUAAAGACCUGGAAUCAAGAGAAAGGAAUGUCUGGGUGAUGGUAAGGGGUUGUAGAGAUUAAGGUUUUGUCAUGCCGAUGAAGCCUCCAGGUAACAGGCUUCAGAGAGAAUAGGUCAUAAAUGUUUCUACUCAGACUUAAAGAGGCUGUUCUAUCAGUCAUUCCUAAAGGAAGGAGGGUAUCAAGAGGCUGUUCUAUCAGUAAUUCCUAAAGGAAGGAGGGUAUCAAGACGCACGUCUGGCUCCCCCUUCCCCUCAUGACCUGAACUAGUUUUAUAGGUUAACUUUGGAAUGCCUUGGCUGAGGGGCCAUGCAUUCAGAUGGUUGGGGGCCUUAGAAUUUUCUUUUUGGUUUACAGGGACUUGCACUCACAGUGGCCUGGCUGUCUGUCUGUCUGUCUAACCUGGCAUUAUGCACACACUUUGAGUUAUCUUAUUCCUGCUCUGUGUUCUCAUUGCAUGAGAUCCUUGGGUGCAGGAACUACGUCUCCUCCUUGUUCUCCAGAGUACAAAUUUUUCUUUCAAUAACUGUGCACUGAGCUCCAAUUUUGUUCCAAUGGCUGUGCUAAGCUCUGUAGAUGAAGUCGAAAAAAAUAAAGAAGUAAAGACA
rnacentral:lncRNA from 1 species